rnacentral:rRNA from 1 species
AGUGAACGCUGGCGGUAGGCCUAACACAUGCAAGUCGAACGGCAGCACAGUAAGAUCUUGCUCUUACGGGUGGCGAGUGGCGGGUGGGUGAGGAAUACAUCGGAAUCUACUUUUUCGUGGGGGAUAACGUAGGGAAACUUCCGCUAAUACCGCAUACGACGUACGGGUGAAAGCAGGGGAUCUUCGGACCUUGCGCGUUUGAAUGAGCCGAUGUCGGAUUAGCUAGUUGGGUGGGUAAAGGCCCACCAAGGCGACGAUCCGUAGCUGGUCUGAGAGGAUGAUCGGCCACACUGGAACUGAGACACGGUCCAGACUCCUACGGGAGGCAGCAGUGGGGAAUAUUGGGCAAUGGGCGCAAGCCUGACCCAGCCAUACCGCGUGAGUGAAGAAGGCCUUCGGGUUGUAAAGCCCUUUUGUUGGGAAAGAAAAGCAGCAGAUUAAUACCCCGCUGUUCUGACGGUACCCAAAGAAUAAGCACCGGCUAACUUCGUG